UCGAGGAUCUUUUGCAAUGCCCGACAGGGUGACAAUGCGACGCCGCGUGAGCGAUGAAGGCCUUCGGGUUGUAAAGCUCUGUCAGCUGGGAUGAAAGGCAAAACAAUUAAUAUCGUUUUGAUUGACGGUACCAGCAAAGGAAGCCACGGCUAACUCCGUGCCAGCAGCCGCGGUAAUACGGAGGUGGCAAGCGUUGUUCGGAUUUACUGGGUGUAAAGGACAUGUAGGUGUCUUUUUAAGUCGGGUGUGAAAUCCCUUAGCUCAACUAAGGAACUGCAUUCGAUACUGAUAAGAUUGAGUACUGGAGAGGUAAGCGGAAUUCCGGAAGUAAGGGUGAAAUCUGUAGAUAUCCGGAGGAACACCAUUAGCGAAGGCGGCUUACUGGUCAGAUACUGACACUGAAAUGUGAAAGCUAGGGGAGCAAACAGG
rnacentral:rRNA from 1 species